rnacentral:lncRNA from 1 species
AUUCAUAACUUCUUCGUUUGACGUCCGUUCUCGCCUAACUUUUUAUCGUUUCAAUACCAACAAUGAGAUCUUCGAUUCUCAUUUAGAUUGCUUCGGCUAAAAACCGCUCGAUCUCAAAUCGAGUAAAACAGGCUGUAUACUGCUAAGCCGGAACUUCGAUAAAUCAUAACUUCCUCAUACGAAGUCAGAUUUGGGUGUUCUAUAUUUAUUCGGAAACCUCGUUUCAAUUACUACAACAUUAACCAAAGAUAUUAAGUUUAUUUUACACUUAAAUUUUGACGCUUAUUUUUAUUCUUAAUUAAUCAAACCACAUAAUUAAGCAAUUAAGCACAAAACACAUAAUACUCAAAUAAUAAAAUCUCAUUAUUUCAAAACGGGUUACAAAGGUUAACCUAGACUAUUACAUUGCUAAAAAUGGCAAGCCCGGAAACACAGACGUUACAGAGGUGGUAUCACGGCAUGGUGUACCGAUCUCGAUUGUGUCAGAUCGAGAUGUGCGUUACACUUCCUGGUUCUGGAAGAAGUUCCAUGAGGAGUAGGGUACUAGGCUGCAUUCAGCACCGCUUACCACCCACAGACGGACGGACAGAGUGAGCGGACGAUUCAGACGCUCGAGGACAUGCUUCGGGCAUGCGUGUUGGACUUCGGAGGGAGUUGGGACACAUAUUUGCCAUUGGCUGAGUUUUCCUAUAACAACUGUCACCAUUCGAGCAUUGGUAUGCCUCCCUUAGAGUUGUUGUAUGGGAGGAGGUGUCGGACUCCCAUCUGUUGAGGAGAGGUAGGGCAGCAAGUGUUGGGCAGCACUGAGAUAGUGCUUUAGACGAUAGAGCAUAUUCAGCAGGUUAGACAAAGGUUGUUGACGGCUCAGAGUCACCAGAAAAGUUAUGCAGAUAGGCGACGAUCCGAGCUUGAGUUCCAGGUGGGAGACCUCGUGCUCCUAAAAGUGUCUCCUUGGAAGGCAGUGAUUCGAUUCAGAAAGACAGGCAAGAUGGGGCCCCGAUAUAUUGGACCGUUUAGAAUGAUCACGAGGGUGGGCAGGGUAGCAUAUCGUUUGGAGCUACAUGUGAAGUUGAUCCAGAUUCAUGAUACCUUCCACGUGUCUCAGCUGAGGAAGUGUAUAGCCGACGAGUCGGCAGUGGUGCCGUUGGAGGAUAUCCAGGAGGAUGCGAGUCUAAAUUAUGUUGAGAGACCGAUCGCGAUCUUGGACCGGAAGGUCAAGGUUCUGAGAAACAAGGAGGUGCCUCUGGUUUAGGUCCAGUGGUAACAUCGGAGGGGGUCCGAACUGACUUGGGAGCCGAAGUCAGAGAUGCGGGAGCAGCAUACGAAGUUGUUUUCGGCAUGAGACUUCGAGGGAGAAGUCUAGUUCUAGUGGGGGAGAAUUGUAACAUCCCAAAAUUCAGGUAAAGCUAUUUAACCGUUCUCUUUUUUGUCAAGUUGUCAAGACUAGCCCUUGAGUGGAAAUUGUAGCAAAUGAGUACGCUGGGCGUACUGGAGAGUACGCUGCGCGUACUCAUGCGCUUAAUUUGGACGCGGACUCGCCUAGGUACGCUAGGUGUACCCAGGGUUACGCUGGGCGUAGCGGGCCAAGAUGCAAACCCUAAUAUUUGCCUUGUGCGCUAUAUAAGGAAUGCUAAGGCUUUAUCCUCAACCACCAUAUCAGAGAGUGAAACCCUAAGAGAUCAUUUCCUUCGUCCCAAAGCUUGUGUGUGAGUGUUUUGAGAUAAAAGUGCCUUUGUGUGUUCGUAAAGAAGAAGGAGAGGAGCUUGAAGAGGCUAGAGUUUGAGGUUCAAGUUUGGAUCUGAGUUCUUUAGAGGGAGAAGCUUCAUCUAGAGGUAAAAAGCUCAAAACUUUCCUCUUUAUUUGGGUUUGGUGUUGCAUGGACCAUUUCUAGGGUUAAAGUCCCAAGGGUGGAGACUUUAUGAGCAUAAGGGACUCCAUGGACCUAGAUCUGUCCCAUUUCAGUGAUAUAUGUGUUGUAGAUCCAUAAAAAUCCCAACUUGGUCAUUGUUAUGGGGUCGUGCUUGAGUUAUGAGCCUUUCUAGGGUUGGAAAUAGAAUGUUAUCGGUGUUGGUGACUAUUGCAGCCAUGCAAAGGCUUAAAGUCACCAACUUUAUGGAUUAAGAGGCUUAGGGAUGGUCAGAUCUGAAAGUUGGACGUUUGUCUUAACUGUUUAAGACCCCAAAAGCUAAGGAGUCUGAAACUAGGAGUUACACGGGGCGUAAUCCCAGUACGCACGACGUAGGGGGUCGCGUUCCCCGUUUCUGUGAGGUCGCCGGGUACGCCCAACGUACAGGUUUGGUACACACAGCGUAACCCGAAUAGUUGACUUUUGUUGACUUUUAGGGUUUGCUCAACGUUAGGGUCUUUGAGCCAUGAGAGGGGUAAAAUGGUCUUUUACCCUUCUGAGAGUGCUAAGAAAGGGAAUAGUCUAGCCUUGAGAUUUGUAUUGAUUAGAGUGCUUAUUCCAUGUGAUUAGGCCGAGGCUAGACCAGAUUUUACCAAGUUCGAGAUUGCCGAGUUACCCGAGGUGAGUCUUCUCACUAUACUUUACCUAGAGUGGUAAUUAGAGUAUAUGACAGAGUAUCGUGUAUGUUAUUUAUGUGAUUGUGAUGCACUGCAUUAUUUCUAAGUGAUUCAUGCCAUGUAUGUUCCAGAGUUUACAGAGUUAGAACUGGAAGGUUCACAGAGCUAGGACCAGAGGGUCCACAGAGUUAGGACCGGAGGGUCACAGAGUUAUAGCCUCGAGUGGCUAUUAUGUGUUAUAUGUGGUAUUUUGGGGAACUCACUAAGCAUUUAUGCUUACAGUGUUGUGUUAUGUGUUUCAGGUACUAGUGAGGAUCGUGGGAAGGCGCCGGUAUGAUCAGUACACACAUGAGGAGUUUUUAUAUAUUAUGAUCUUGGGAUGUGUUACUAUGGAUUGAUAUGUGAUACAAUGACAUUUUGAUAACAUUUAUGAAUGAAAGUAUGUUUUUGAAAUUUGAAAAAAAAUAUUUGAAAAUUUUGGGUGUUACAUAAAUUAUGUUGCAUCGAUGUAAUGGUUGGUUAUGUUAUCCUUGGUUGGACCAGGAGGGUUUUUGGAGCCAAUAUGGCAAGAAAAGUUAGGAUAGCUCUUGUCAGAUAGACACUCGUUCGGAUUCGCAUGGUACGAUUAUGCGUGAGACUAUCAACCUCAACAACUAGUGGAAAAUCCAGUAUUUUGGUUAAUUGGAAGGUAAGUUCGAGGCCAAAGAGUUCUAAGUUAGAUCAGAACUGUGAUUGUGGGACAACAAGAUGAGCCUGAGAUGGUACCAAUGAUUGAGACUUGUGUUGAGAGUCUCUUUUGCUAUCAAGUGGAAGGUUUUUGGUUGCGAUUAAUGGUCAGGGAUUCUAUUUCCCAGUGGAAUCACCAAGAUGAUUCAAGGAUGGAUUUAUGUUCUGUUUGGGAUGUGAAGUGGAGUCCUAUUGGAAGUGAUUCAUAAUGGUUUAGUAUGUCGAGAAGUCAGGCAAUGUAUUGGAUUUCUGGAUUUUUAGUUGAGUAGCAAUGGUUAUUCUUCUUUGGUUAACGUUAGCAGGGAAAUGAUUCGUUCGUCAUUAGUAUGUGAGUUUCGCAAAGGAUGGGUUAGAUUAUUGGAAGGCCAUCAAAUGUUAGAGUCACAUUUAUCAGGGUUCUGGAAGUAUUGGCUGAAUCGUCUAGGUGUCUUGGAAUGUGGAAAGAAGCGAUUUCGAGGACAAAAUCUAAUUUACGUGGGAGAGAGUUGUAACAACCGUGUUCCGGAUUGGUUAAGCUUACUUGUAUCAAGGACCAAGGAGGGAGUUUUGGAGAAAAAUAUAUGCCACAACGUGGCCCCGAAGGCCACAACGUGGCAAUAAUUAUUUGAUUACGUAUUUUUGGACCACCACGACCUGGCCAAAGGAGGCCACGACGUGGAAGCUGAUCAGGCCCAAUCCCAUGGCUCUUUUAGGGUUCCUUUUGUAUUUAAACCCCUUUAAACCCAUUUUAGGGUUCAUUAUCAGCCUCCAAGCCCCUUUUUCACCUUAUAAAAUCCUAGCCUUUAUUCCUUGUUUGAUUCUUGAGCUUUUUAGGAGCUUUCAUGGCUUGAAAAAGAACAAAAGAAGAAGAAGAAGAACUUGAUCUUUUAGUGGAACUUGCAAGGAAUCAACAUUAUCAUCACUUCACAUUGUCUUUGGACCCUUGUAAGUGUCCAAUCUCCUUGCUUUAUGACCUUUUGUGGUUAGAUCUAGAAUUUUGUCCCUUGUUAUUCAUGUUGGGCAAGUUUGGAAGGAAGAAGUUCAUAAAGUUGGCAACUUUAUGACUCUCAUGGAUCCCAAGAGUAUUAUAUGUUAUGGAUCUAGCCUUUGAUGGAUGUUCUUAUCAUUUGCUUAAGCUUUGGUCUUUAGAGCUCAUAUUUGACAUAAAAUGGAUCUUAUACAUGUAUUGGACAUACAUGUCUAUAAAGCUUCCACCUUUAUGUUAGAUCUGGUAUUAGAAAUCAUUAUGGGUUAGUUGGGUUAUGUUUUUUUCUGGAUUAAGAGUUUAAUGGUUAAGACAUUAUGGUUUUGGCUUUAUUUGGACCUAGGGUUAAAGAUCUUGAUCUCUUUGGGUGUCUUAAUGGAUACAAUUGGAAAUUUUAUCCACUUAGAGCAUAUUUUGGACUAGAUCUGAGCUUUGGAGCUCUUGGAAUCGAAGAAAACAAUUUAAUCCAUUAAGUUGUUGGAAACCUAGUGCCCACGAUAUUCCAUAAGUGCCACGGUGUGGCAACUUGGUUUUUCUCGUCAGCUAGUUUUAUGAGGAUCAUAUCGUAGCCAAGGAAUGCCACGACGUGACAGGUAGCUAAAGUCAACUCUGGCCGCUGACUUUGAUCGUUGACUUUUGGCAUGGGUUGACUUCUAGUCAAUCUCUAUUUUUUUAGAAGGUAGACUUAGGGUUUGCCUGGUGUUGAUUUUAGGAGGUGUUUAGCACCCAUCUUUUGUCGAUGAGAGCUGUUAGAUGUGUUCGGUGUGGCGUUGCGCUAGGUUUUAAUAAUCAUUGUGAUUCAGGUGAGUCUCCUCACUGUACUUUUGGGUCGAAGGCACCAAUGCCGGUGUAGUGGUGUUGAUUAUAAUGACAAAUGCGAAAUAUGAAAGAUCUAGUGAAUCAUUGUAAGAAUCAUGAACAUGAAGAACACAAGAUUAAAUAAAUAUGGUUUAAGCUCUCAUUAGUUUUUGAUAGAAAGAUUACAAAUGGCUUGCUAUUUCUCUCUCCAAAACUAAUGUUCUCACAAAUGUUCCUUACAUAAAUGAGUCUCACUCACUUCCUAUUUACAGGAAAUACAACUCAUUGCACAGUACAAGAGGGCAAGCACUAAUAACAUCUAAGCGCGACUUUGCAUCCUAACAUUAUCCCCCUCAAAGUUAGGAUUGGAUGUCCCAGCUUCAAUAUCCAACGAGCUCGCGCGAUCAAGACCAACUCCCCCUCGAAGUAAUACUGGUUUUCAAAUCCGCAAAUAAAUACCCGAGAAGCUUCGAAUACCCACUCUUCAUUCUCCCCCUUUUUAUAAUCAAAAAAUGAUUAUAAAACCGGCUGAGAAGCACCUAAGGAAUAAUAUUCACAAAGCGCCCUUGAUGUUUGCCAAAAAUGAAACCAAGAAAAACUUACAUGGAAAAACAAUCACAAAAAAAAGUUAUGAAAAAUUUUCAAUUUUGUGAAAAUUUUCAACUUUUGGGUGAGAGUUGCAACAAUUUCAAAAAUCCGGGUUAAAACUGCCACUUUGAGAAUUCUGCAGUGACCCGUUGCACCAAAAACAGUCUAAGAUGCGAAACACUCCACCAAUUGCGAAACUGGGCAUAAAGCGUAAAUUCGCAUUAACUGCAGGCACUAAACUCAUAAAAUUCUCCAUUUCUCAGAAUUAUUAGUCCAAUUUCGAAGUUAGGUAAUUUUUGCCAAGUCUUCGAAACAUCCGGGAUACGAUACUAAAAGUCUGUAUUUAACACAAACUUUUAUCCCAAUGUCGAAUGUGGACUAAAACUGCCAAAUUGUUAAUAGUUCAGGGACCCAAAACGAAAAUGAAUGUUUUCUUCCCUAAUUCACUUUCUUACCGGGUCUUCGCUUUUCAUGUACAUGCCUUCAACAGAAAAAACGAAGCACGAAGGGUCAUUGAUAACAAGUCAAAAUCAUUCCUUCAGUUUUAAUCAAGCAACGUCGACAAUUGACCUCAACCCUACACUUUUCGUCUCAAGUCUUCGUUCAUCAAUAUCAAACCCUUCGAAUCCCAUGAACAGAUUGCCAUCUACCUCAAAACUCAUCCUUCAUUUUUCAGUCAUCCCAAAACAUCGAUAUUGAUCCCCAAGGCUUGGCACACUGACUCCAAAAUCAUUAAUCGACAACCCCAAUCGAUUCCAACAAACUCAUUCCAACCCUUCGAUUUCCAGUACAUGUGCCAAUUUCAAAGCAUUCACAGUAUUCGCUUUCAAUCAAACACGUCGACUCUUGAAUCCAAAUUAAACCAGCUGAAAUCGACAUUAAAUCGAAGGGGGUGUUUGGCUUAGCUUUUUAGAGGCCAAAAGAUCUUUUUGGAAAAGUUACAAAAAGUCAGGUUUUCCUGACUUUUCCAAAAAGUUGAUUUUCCUUCUUUGCAAAAUCCAAAAGUAGCUUUUAAAAGUCCUUUGCCAAACAUCUUUUGCCUAUGAUCUUUUUCUAAAAGGACUUUUGGCCAUUCAAAAGCUAAGCCAAACACCCCCCAAGUCUACUCCAGCUCCAAAACACUAUCGAUUUCAAUCCAAAUAAUAUAUUGUUCGACCCUAGCAUUCUCAAUCCAAAACAACUUCCGUACUCGACUCCAACCGUUUGCUUUUAACACAUUGCCAACGACCUCCUUCCCAAAACAACCCAUCGAUGUCGAUUCCACAUAAGGACCUUCACUUCAUCAGGCCUAAGAAAUCAGGGUAUGGCAUUUGAGAACCCUUCGAAUGUUGACAUAAACACGCAUCAAUCGACAUUCCAAUGCCUUCGUUCUCAAGAAUGCAUUUGACAACAAAAUUCAGUUCCAAGCUAAUUUUCGAAAUUGAACCUCAAAUCGACCUUGAUUUUGACAUCCAUAGCCUCAAAAUAACUUGUAUUAACCAAUUUCUUCCACCAACACAUCAAUUCAUCACUUACAUCGACUUUGACUUUUUCUAAGUUUGACUGUUCGAAGUCAAAGAUCAACAAACACAAAAUCGAUGAUUCAAACAACACAUUUCGUAUCAAAACAUGAUUAUCCAACUGUUCUUCAUCACAUUCAUGUGUUCUUGAUCAAGAUCUUUUAAAAUCAAAGCAUUGAUUGGCAUUUUUUUGUUCAUCAUCGGCUUGGUAAUAGCACAAAGCAUAUACAACCGAUUUACAAGUCUGGAUUCAAGAACAAACUCUAAUCGAAUAACAAGAUCAUUGAAUAAAAAAUGAAACUCAAGAAAUCUAAGAUUAAUAUUCGAGAUAUGCACCACCGAAUAUACAACCGAGUUCGAUAACGUUCAAAAGAAAAUAAGAAGUCGGAUAAAAAUUGAAACAACCCAAAAAUACGACCCAAAAUUUUCAAUUUUUAUCAUAACAAAAACAUGAAACCAAGUGUCUCAUAACGACAACAUACGUCGCGUGUUUCAAAAACCAUGAUAAAAUACUGAGAGAAAGAAAAUUGUAUCACAACUGUAUCCGAACAUAUCAACUAACGGAAUCAACUCCCAGGACAAAAACUGAAGUUGUGGUGUGUGCGAUGCCAUCAUCCCGAGCUCUUCCCUUUGCUUGCGGAAGUACCUAAAACCAAAACUGAAACUGUAAGCACGAAGCUUAGUGAGCUCCCCCAAACUACCACAUACCAUACAAUACAUAUAAAGCACAUAUUGGGCCUUGCCCACUGCAUCAGACCGAAGUCUGGAACUAGCUGCAUCGGACCAAAGUCCGGAACUGACUGGGACCUUGUCCCCUGCAUCGGACUGGAGUCCGGAACUAACUGUAUCGGACCGAAGUCUGGAACUAACUGCAUCGGACCGAAGUCCGGAACUAGCUGCAUCAGACCGAAGUCCGGAACUGACUGCAUCGGACCGAAGUCCGGAACUGACUGGGACCUUGUCCCCUGCAUCGGACCGAAGUCCGGAACUGGCUGAUCAUGGCAUAGCAUAACACAUACCAACUAAUAUAAACACAUAUACUGCAUACUGCAUCGGAACAGAGUCCGGAACACAUAACACAAACAUACUUGAAUCACAAAGACAUCAAGCACUCUAACUACUGCAUCAGACUAAAGUCCGGGACUACUGCUAACUAAACGGGCCGACAUUGUGGCCGUAGACCCGUUCCUACUGAAAGGAAACUCACCUCGUGAACUGGCUGCUGAAUGAAUGGCUCUGGAAGCUAACUGUUUCUGCUUCGGUAUCUCCCCGGCUACAAAUCCAUAAACACACUCAAUCAAAUGCUAAACACUGCACUGGGGUAAAAUGACUCUUUUACCCUUGGUCAAAGUCAACUCUCUNNNNNNNNNNNNNNNNNNNNNNNNNNNNNNNNNNNNNNNNNNNNNNNNNNNNNNNNNNNNNNNNNNNNNNNNNNNNNNNNNNNNNNNNNNNNNNNNNNNNNNNNNNNNNNNNNNNNNNNNNNNNNNNNNNNNNNNNNNNNNNNNNNNNNNNNNNNNNNNNNNNNNNNNNNNNNNNNNNNNNNNNNNNNNNNNNNNNNNNNNNNNNNNNNNNNNNNNNNNNNNNNNNNNNNNNNNNNNNNNNNNNNNNNNNNNNNNNNNNNNNNNNNNNNNNNNNNNNNNNNNNNNNNNNNNNNNNNNNNNNNNNNNNNNNNNNNNNNNNNNNNNNNNCAUCCGACUCGCCGAGUCAUAUGAACAACUCGACGAGUUGUUCUUGAGCUAAGAAGAUUGCCUUGGACUCGCCGAGUUGUAUGAACAACUCGUCGAGUCCCUCCAUUACUGAGUCUGCCCUCCAACUCACUGAGUCCACUCUACUACUCACAGGCUUCCACUCGACAUCACUCAAAAAGGGGAAAAACGGGACUCGCGACUUGACUCGCCGAGUCGUUCUUCCGACUCGCCGAGUCACAUCCAUGCAGCUACUCUAAACUCGAUUCUGCUUGAAUCCAGCGUCUGAAACUUAUAGAUCUGGGCUUCCUUAACUCGAUUAGCACGUAAAGAUUCUAUCUUUACGUGCCCAUAAGCGACCAAGAAGAUAAUAAGGCUCAAAAAGCAUAAUAAAGGCUAGAUCUAGGGUUCUUAUGCAAAGCAUCUUCAAAAAGGCAAUAGAUCCGGGCUCUACAACUCCUAAAUGAACAGAUCUAGGGAUAUCUCGACCUAUUAAGGCAUCCAUACAACUAUAAGGCUUGGAAAAUGCAUCAAACUAGCCCUAGAAGAGUUCUAAUGGAGGUCUAAAGCAUAAAACAGAAGGAAUCCGAGAAAUACCUCAAUGAACUCUGAUUUUGCCCUUGGAUCUUUGCUCUACACCUCUUCUCUUUGCUCCUUUCUUCUUCUUCUUCUUCAAGCCUUCAAAAUCCACACACAAAAGCACUUAAAACAAUAAGGGAUGGAUUAGGGUUUUCUCACAGCUCUCUGAGGGUGAAGGAGGCGAGUUUGGGGCACAUAGCAUUGCUUAAAUAGUGAGCAACCCGGGGAUUUAGGGUUUCUUCCAGGCAGGCAGACUCGCCGAGUCCCGAAUAUGGACUCGCCGAGUCGCCGACUAACACGUGCACGAAAACUCGACCCUACUCGACGAGUCAGGCCAUAGACUCGCCGAGUCCCUUAAUAAAACUUUUAAAUAAAUGCCACAAGAACAACAUACCAGAGAUGAGGCGUUAUAAUUCUCCUCCACUUGUCUCAGACUUCGUCCUUGAAGUCUGCUACGGCUGAAUCUGCAAAUAACUCCGGGUAGUGCUCUCUCGUUUCUUCCUCAGCCUCCCACGUCCACUCAGACCCCUUCCGGUGCUGCCACUGCACCUUCACUAACUGAAUUGCCUUGUUCCUCAAGGUCUUUGUCUUCCGGUCCAGAAUCGCGACCGGCCUCUCAAUAUAAUUCAGGCUGCUAUCAACCUGAAUAUCCUCUAGGGGAACAACUGCUGACUCAUCCACCAAACACUUCCUCAACUGAGACACAUGGAAAGUGUUGUGGAUCUGGCUAAGCUCUACAGGAAGAUCCAACCGAUAAGCAACCCGACCCACUCGGGCCAAAACCCUGAAAGGACCAAUGAACCUGGGGCCCAGCUUGCCCCUCUUCCGAAACCUGAUGACACCCUUCCAGGGUGAGACCUUCAGAAGGACCAUAUCGCCCACCCGGAACUCCAAGUCUGAACGCCUCCUGUCGGCGUAGCUCUUCUGCCGACUCUGCGCAGUCUGCAGUCUACUACGGACCUGCUGAAUCAACUCGGUCGUCUUGAGCACCACCUCUGUGCUCCCAAUGACUCGCUGACCGACCUCGCCCCAACAAAUCGGGGUCCUACACUUCCUCCCAUAAAGCAUCUCAAAGGGAGGUCGAUCAAUGCUCGCAUGAUAACUGUUGUUAUACGAAAAUUCCGCUAACGGAAGAUACGUAUCCCAACUGCCACCGAAGUCUAGAACACAUGCCCUGAGCAUGUCCUCGAGAGUCUGAAUCGUCCUCUCGCUCUGCCCGUCCGUCUGAGGGUGGAAAGCGGUGCUGAAAUGAAGACGAGUACCCAUCUCGUCGUGAAACCGCUUCCAGAAUCUGGAUGUAAAACGGACAUCUCGGUCUGACACCACCGAUACCGGCACUCCAUGACGUGCCACGAUCUCACGCACAUAGAUAUCGGCUAACUUUUCUGCCGAUAUACUCUCCUGGAUCGGGAUAAAAUGAGCACUCUUCGUCAACCGAUCCACUACUACCCAUAUCGAAUCUACUCCUCGUGCGGUCCUGGGAAGCUUGGUGACAAAAUCCAUGGUGAUGUCCUCCCAUUUCCACACGGGAAUGUCUAACGGCUGCAUCUUGCCGUGAGGCCUCUGGUGCUCCGCCUUGACCUUCCUGCAGGUCAGGCACCUCUCAACAUACCAAGCGACAUCCCGCUUCAUGCAGGGCCACCAAUAAUCGGGUCGAAGAUCUCUAUACAUCUUCGUCGCCCCUGGGUGGAUAGAAAAUCGAGACUUAUGAGCCUCGUCCAUCAACACCUGCCGUACUCCACCCCAGUACGGUACCCACACUCUCCCAUGAAGUGUCAGCAAUCCCCGACUGUCAUAAUCAAACGAAGCUACUCGGCCCACUAUCCUCUCACACUUUUGCCUCUCCUCCUUGAGGCCCUCAACCUGAGCCUCCCUGAUCCGUUCCAACAACGGAGUAAUCACUGUCAUCCUCAAACACAAAUCUCUGAUAGGGGCUGCCGACACUUUGCGGCUUAGGGCGUCGGCCACCACGUUGGCCUUCCCUGGAUGGUAAAGGAUCUCACAAUCAUAAUCCUUCAGCACAUCCAACCACCUCCUCUGCCUCAUGUUCAGACUCGGCUGAUCCAUAAGGUACCUCAAACUCUUGUGAUCCGUGUAGAUAGUACAACGGACCCCAUAAAGAUAAUGCCUCCAAAUCUUGAGGGCAAACACAACCGCCCCCAGCUCUAAAUCAUGGGUAGGAUAGUUAGCCUCGUGAGGCUUCAACUGCCUCGAGGCGUAAGCUAUCACAUGGCCUCGCUGCAUCAACACUGCUCCCAUACCUGUGAUUGAGGCAUCACAGUAGACUACGAAGUCCUCUACUCCCUCUGGCAAGGUAAGGAUCGGAGCCUCGCACAAUCUCUGCCUGAGGGUCUCGAACGCUGCCUGCUGCUCUGGCCCCCAACGAAAUACCACCGACUUCUUGGUCAGUCGGGUGAGCGGCACUGCUAUCUUGGAGAAAUCCUGAAUGAAUCUCCGGUAAUACCCUGCCAACCCUAGGAAGCUCCGAAUCUCAGAUGGAGACUUCGGGACCUCCCACUGCAUCACGGCCCCUAUCUUGGCCGGAUCCACCAAAAUACCCUUCUGGUUGAUGAGGUGACCAAGGAACUGCACCUCGCGCAACCAGAACUCACACUUGGAGAACUUUGUGAAAAGUUUCUCCCUCCUCAAAACUUCUAGCACCUCCCUCAGGUGCUCCUCGUGCUGCUCCUGCGUCUUGGAAUAUACCAAGAUAUCAUCUAUGAAUACUAUCACUGACCGAUCCAGCAUCGGCCUGCACACGCGAUUCAUGAGAUCCAUGAACGCGGCUGGGGCAUUGGUGAGUCCAAAUGGCAUCACCACAAACUCAUAAUGACCAUACCUGGUCCUGAAAGCAGUCUUCUGCACAUACUUAAGAGCAUGAAGAUCACUUGGGUUUUCAAUUAGAGAAACAUAUUGCUUCUUGAAUAAUUCUCUUUCUUUUCCUUCCUUUUGAUUUUCACACCAAGAUAACAUAAUCAUGGAGAUUUCAACCAAGCAUCCAAUCUUUGAAAAGUGGUUAAAAAACAAUCUUCCAUGAUCAUCUUUCAAACCUCCAUAAGAAACCAUAGUACCCCAUGUAAUCAAUCUGCUUUCAACAAUAACCCAUAGAAUUGAUUUUUGUUGACUUUGUAUUUGACAUCUUCAAUGAUCACAACCUAAGAAUCAUAAUGCAAAUACACCAUGAUCACAAAAACUUUAAAAUUUUCUAGAGAGUGAAAGUGAUUUUGAAUGAGUUUUCUAGAUAGAGAAAACAAAAAUCACUUGAACUUCUAGUGAAGAAAAUUGUUCUUGAUCAAAUCAAGAACACCAUGUUUGAUAUCAAUUGUUUUAGAGUUGAUUAUGAUGACAAAUGCAGAAUAUGAAAGAUCUAGGGAAUCAUUGUAAGAAUCAUGAACAUGAAGAACACAAGAGUAAAUAAAUAUGGUUUAAGCUCUCAUUAGUUUUUUAUAGAAAGAGUACAAAUGGGUCUUGUUAUUUCUCUCUCUAAAACUAAUGCUCUCACAAAUGUUCCUUACAUAAAUGAGUGUCACUCACUUCCUAUUUAUAGGAAAGACUACUCAUUACACAAUACAAGAUGGUAAACACUAAUAACAUCCAAGCGUGAGUUUGCACCUUAACAGUCGGCCUACUGGAUUAUGUUGUAGGAUAGUAGUGGUCUUUGUGACACUUACUUAUGUGCUUGUAUGUGCUUAUUGUCUUUGUGACUAAUACUAGUAUGAUUGUAUCUUAUAUGCAUAGAACCAAUAUGGGCUCAGAGUCAUUAUAGAAUCGGGGUGGAUAUGGACCCGACACAGCUACAUGUUGUUACAUGGAGUCAUUACGGACUCAGGGUUGAUAUGUAUCCGAGGGUUGAUACGGAACCGACACAACCACAUGCUGUUAUAUUUAUCUAUGUGUGUUGUAUGUGGUAUUUUGGGAAUCUAAAUAAGCUUUAUGCUUACAAUUUAUAUUUAUAGUUUUAGGUACUUCCGUUUUCAAAAGGAAGGGCCCGACUUGAUCGCAUUAUAUCCCCUGGAGUUUUAUUUUGCACUGGAUGUUUACAGUUUACUACUGAUGUUUUGAGAAUACCUUAACUCUGAUCGUCUUUUGGAACAAUGAAUGAAUGAUUUUAACUAAUUUAAAAAUGAAAUUUUUACUUGGUAUUUUUGGGAUGUUAUACAUGGUGGUUUCCAAAGGGUUUUCACAGAUCUGAAAAAUAAUGUGGUUGAUCUUAUAUCCAAAUGUUUUUCCAACGAAAACUACAAAUCUAGGAAAUCUCGAAUUUGAAAAGCUUUUCCGGUGAAAAAAAAAAAAUAAACACUUUAUGUCGGGGAAGGAGAGAGACGUGGACAGAAAGAGAGAUGGAGUAGAGGAAGAAUGACAGUUGUAGCGAUGGUUUACGGUUGGUGGUGGUGAUUUCCGGUUGCUGGUGGUGAUUUAUGGCAGGCGAUAGUAGUUUUCGGCAAAUGACGGUUGUUUCCGAUGACACAUGGAGAGAGAGAGAAAGAGAGAGUAUAAUUUAAAGAGAUAGUGAGUAGGUGUGAUAGUAAGGGUAAGUUUAAUUUUAAUUUUAAUUUUCUUGUUUUUUUUAAAUCUGAAAAUUAAAAAUAUAAAUAAGAAAAAAAAGAAAAACUCAUAACAAAAUUAAAGUUUUGGACCAUUAAUAAUAAUCAAAAUAUUUUUGGAUAAACUUACUAGCUGUUACAUAAUACACAUACCAUUCUUGUAAUUUUGUCUUUUAAAUGUUUGAAUGUAUUUCUAAUAUUUCCGUUCCUUUUUAUUUCUUUAUCAAUUACCUUUUAUAUAAAAAAAUAUUAAAAUAUUCAAAAUGGUCACUUAAUUGCGCUCAUACUUGUAUCUUACGCACAAAGGAGUUGUACAUUGGUAAGUAUACGUAUGCUUUCGGUCAUUUCACACGGUCUGGCAACCCAAAGUAGGAGGGAACUAGAAGUGACGCUGACAUCAUUUUUUUACUACACAUGUAUCAUCCGAUUAAAUGAUGGACAAAUCUCACACGGACAAUUGGUCUAAGAAAUUAAUUUUAAUUGAUUUCAAAUUUUAAAAUAUAAAUAUAAAUAAUUUAAAUAAAUUAAAAUUCUAUACGAAAUCAAUUAAAUUAUAAUUAAGCCGGAAGAUAUUCCUAAACAAUAAAUAUAAAAUUUUAAUAUUAAGAAACUUGAUUUUUCAAAUUUAAUUCCACAAAGUAUUGAUUCGCACCAAUCAUCAUAGUAUCAUACCAUCUUAGUAAACAAAGAUAGAAAAACAGAUAACUUACUUAAAAAUAAAAUUAUAUUAAUUAAAUCUUUUUUAUUUUGAACAUUUGUUCUAAUUUGAGUUAAAAACAAUGCUACUAAUUUUACAAACAGCUAAAGAAAUAAAUUAAAAAGCAAAAAUAUAUUAAAUAAACAAAUGUUAUUCGGUUUGUUUCGAUUAUUUUUUGAUAAAAUAAAAUGAAAAUACUUUCAUAAAUAAGUAGAUAACAAUUGUCAUAUCAUAUGAUAAUUUUUUCCCCUAUAAAUAUGAAAGUUCAAUAGAUAUCGAUUGAAGGCAAACGGAUAACAAGCUGCGCCGCUAGUCCUUUCUGGAUGACAAUCCUAUCGACCGGUCAUGGGGCCUAUUACUUGGGAUGUUAAUUGCAUUCACUAUAAAUAUUUUGGAU